CCAAAAGGGGCACUCUACCCAUUCUGCACAUCUCUAUUGUUUUAACCCCUGCAUUAUUGAAACCAUACUGUUUAAACUAUAAGCAAUUUUCACACCAGGUAAUAUUACAUACUGACAUGUAGAUCCAGCCCCAGACAGCAGGAGUUGAACUUCAGCAGAGCCACCCAAGGACUAAACAGCCCGAAACUCUGUAAUGAUUGGAUGAGCAAGGAGACACUGCAUAGCAAACAUAUAUGUCAGAUAUGGAUUCAAGUACAGUCCUUUCUGCCUUGUGGGAUUAAUAAUUGAAUUUUUGAGCAAAAAGAACAUUAAAGCACAAAGUGGGCUCCUUGGAUUCAGAGUUGGCACUGGUAAAUAUCUUUAUAUUCUACUUCAUUCUGGUGGUGAGUAGUAAAAAAUUUCAUCGGUGUAAAGAGAACUUGUUGUGAGACAAAGUUUGCAGCCUUGAUAUAUUUUUUACAUAUAAAAGAUGUGUGCUGCAUUCCAGUGAUAUAAAACAAAAACUAAAAGCAUGCAUGCAUGUAUUUAAAUAAUAUGAAUAGCUAAAAAUGUGUCCAACUCAAAAUAUGCACAAAUAUGUUUUGGGUAAUGGAAAAAGGUGAAUAUUAGAAAUGCAUGUACAUGAGAUGAAAAGUGUGAAUUAAUUUUUAUGAGAGAAAGAAAAAAAAUGAUGCCUCACAACCUCACACAAAGACAAGAUGAGCAAAAAAUAUAGAUGGUAGGAUUUAGAGAGACAGAAUUGAAAGGGAGAGUUCUUUCCAUCUUUAA